rnacentral:rRNA from 1 species
GACGAACGCUGGCGGCGUGCUUAACACAUGCAAGUCGAGCGGUAAAGGCCCUUUCGGGGGUACACGAGCGGCGAACGGGUGAGUAACACGUGGGUGACCUGCCCUCAGCUCUGGGAUAAGCCUGGGAAACCGGGUCUAAUACCGGAUAUGACUCCAUGACGCAUGUUGUGGGGUGGAAAGCCUUGUGCGGCUGAGGAUGGGGCCCGCGGCCUAUCAGCUUGUUGGUGGGGGAUGGCCUACCAAGGCGACGACGGGUAGCCGGCCUGAGAGGGCGACCGGCCACACUGGGACUGAGACACGGCCCAGACUCCUACGGGAGGCAGCAGUGGGGAAUCUUGCGCAAUGGGCGAAAGCCUGACGCAGCGACGCCGCGUGAGGGAUGACGGCCU